rnacentral:rRNA from 1 species
UACAGAGGUCUCAAGCGUUGUUCGGAUUCAUUGGGCGUAAAGGGUGUGUAGGUGGCGCCGUAAGUCGGGUGUGAAAUUUCGGAGCUUAACUCCGAAACUGCAUUCGAUACUGCGGUGCUUGAGGACUGGAGAGGAGACUGGAAUUUACGGUGUAGCGGUGAAAUGCGUAGAUAUCGUAAGGAAGACCAGUGGCGAAGGCGGGUCGUCGUGGACAGUUCCUGACGCUGAGGCACGAAGGUCAGGGGAGCAAACGGG